UACGUAGGUGGCAAGCGUUGUCCGGAUUUACUGGGCGUAAAGAGCGCGCAGGCGGUCGUCCAAGUCGCGUGUGAAAGCCCCCGGCUCAACUGGGGAGGGUCACGCGAUACUGGUCGACUCGAAGGCAGGAGAGGGUAGUGGAAUUCCCGGUGUAGAGGUGAAAUUCGUAGAUAUCGGGAGGAACACCGGUGGCGAAGGCGGCGACCUGGGUCGAGACUGACGCUGAGGCGCGAAAGCGUGGGGAGCAAACGGG
rnacentral:rRNA from 1 species